rnacentral:lncRNA from 1 species
GAGAUGAAGGACUAUGUUGUGACUGAUGCCUUUUAGAACCAGGUGUUGUCACUGACAACCAAAACUCAUCCUGGGCAUAGAGCUCAGCCAAUACUGUCUAGGCUUCUCCCCUGUCUGUAUACAUGAUCCUUGGCCAACAAGAUAGUGUUGCCAGUCCUCUGGCAACCUACAGGAAAGGUUCUCCAAGACCAGUGAAGCUUAGCUCUUCUCUCCUGGCUUCCUGGUUUCACUGUAUGUUUAUGUAGGUCUGUCCAUAAAAACAAAGUUUUUAAGCCAGGGAUUUAAGUCACUAGGUGUAUCUUGUGUGGGAUGUUCACAAUUAAAGUACAGAUAGCAUCAAACAACUAUAAUUUUUUUUUUUUUUUUUUUAGGUUUUAGAUAUAGCCUUAAAUGUGAAGCCAUAUUUUAAGUUCACACUUUAGACACCUAUGGAGUGAUACUUGAAACAAAAGCUGUUGUAGAUAGUUUUUGGGUUCCUAGAGUACUGUACAGUAAGUCCCCCUAACAGCACAGCAGUUGUGAAGUUCUCUGAGGCAUGCUUUACUGUGAUGCACUGUCUUUUGUGCCUUGUCUUGUGUAGUGUUUAUUAUGUUGGUGUAGCUUAUUUUGUUUUAUGAUAGAGCUAAAAUAAACUGCUGUCAGCCUUUUGCAAUGAAGCCUGCUUUUGAUGAGCAAAAGUUUGCCUUUGCUCCAGAGUCCUCACUAGCAUCUGUGGAUGUAUCUGUGUGGCUUAGCCAUCUGUGUCUUCUUCAACACUGGACCUAGGCUGGACCGUUUUUGUUAUUCAGAAGGUCUCAGUGAUUUUGAGGACUACUACUAGUACCAUAGAACAGUGGAACUGAGUACUCUUUGUGUCUUUUACCAAUGUUGUCUGUAAGCUGAGCCUCCUCCUCUGCACUUGUGAAGAAAAAUACAACUUCUCACAGCUUCUACUAAAGUCAGCUUUGCUGUGUGACCCAUGUGGUAGGCUAUAGAAUGUUAUAGCAGUGCAGAUCUUUCAAGAAGCCACCUGUGGGACACUGAUACCUGAGUGCCACUCCAUUUUACAUUUGGAAGUUGAAGAAUCUAAAAUGUUGUCUAUGAUUUCAACUGGAGUGCUGAAGAUUGGCAGCUGUUAGAUUGUUAUAAUAUGAACCUGUCAGUCAGCUCAGUGUCCCUUUAUAGGAUUUGAAGCAAAAACAUUUCAUUUUUAAGCACCUAAGUUAGUGAGCUGUCAGCAAUGAAAUUCUAAUAAUUUUGAGCAGUCUUAAAAAUUGUUACCUUUUUUUCUCAAAAUAUUUCUCUCAGGUAAAGGUUGUGACAGGCAAGGAUGGGCAGACUGGGACUCCCGUUGCUAUAGCAACCCAGCUUCCGCCAAAUGUUUCUGCUGCUUUUUCAUCCCAGCAGCAACCGUUUCAGGUACUUUUUGAUGGUUCUAAAUUGUAGUCUCAUCCCAAACGUUUCUUUCAUCCAGAUAUUUUAACUUUCAAUUUACUAUUUGCUCUUCGGCAUUUUUUUUCCAGAGCCCAUUCCUUAUUUUGAACAAUAAAAGUCUUUCUGCAUAUACAGUUCUGAAAUUCAGUUGCAUGAGUGAAUGACCACACAGACCUUACUGCAUUGUUUUCUGUGACCUGCAAUGUGGUGGUAGCUUGUAGUGUGCAUGUCCUCUAAUAUUCAAAGUCCUGUUACUGUAUGCUUAGGGUUCCUUGUGUGCUGUGUUUAAUGUUUGUUAUUUCUCGUGUCUUAACUGUAUUUUGAAAACAGUGCAAAACAGAACAAGUGAAAAGACAUAAUAGGAUUUUUUUUCUUAGCUGGAGAAAAUAUAGGUGUGAAUCACCUAUAGAUCCUUAGAACUGAAAUUUCUUAGUGAAGGCAAGAAUGCAUUCAUGAAGCUGGGGUUCAUAUACAUGUUAGCUUUGGAGUGUGCUGGCUUCUGAAAACAGUUUUGUCCUCCAUGAUGUUUUUGUUUUUGCUUUUAAUAUAAUUUCAAACAUGAAAGCUGAUAUAGUAUUACAUGAAGCCUCUGUGCCUUUUCUGACUGACUGCCAUUAGCUUUUGCUCAUUUGCAUUUCAUUCUCAUGAUUAUGCAGUGCCAUAUGGUAUCAAGACCCCUAUCUCUAAAAGGUUUCCACUACUAGAUACAGGCACAUCAGGUAAUGCCACAGUAACCUGGUACUGCUAUGUGAUUGGCAGUUGAGAUUUAGAUUCUGCAGGACCUAGUCCUUUGCAGUUUUCCCACUAGUUGUGGACCUGGUUCAAGAUACCCAUAUUCCUUCCUUGUCAUGCCUCUCUGGCUUUCUUUAAGCUGGGGUUUUUUGGUCUUUUGUGAUGGUUGUUUCUGAAGCAUACAGACUAGUUACAUUGUGAAGAAAAACACAACUUCUCACAGCUUCUACUAAAGUCAGCUUUGCUGUGUGACCUGUGCUGUGCUUUGUGGGAUGUUCUACUCUAUGAGAUUGUCUGAUAUACCCUAGUAUCAUGUUCAAGUAAAGUAAUCCUUUCAUAGAAAUGAAAGUGUGUCUGUCUCAAUGUAUCAUGCCACCAGGCCAUGGUAUUGCCUAGUCUCCUGACUGGUGAUGUUAAUUUGAAGCAUCUGAGGUGGUGUCCACCUGGCCUGUUCUGUAUACAUUAAUUUUCGUUCUGUAAAUGAUGAUAUAAAUUACAUAAAUGUCUUCAAAUGUAAUAAUCUUUUACCUACUAUUUCAAGCAUCUAUUGAUGAGUUGCUCUGAGUCAGUUACUACCAGUUAGACCUCAAGUAGAUUCCCUCCCUGUCGCUCUCCUUGAGAUUCUCUUAUCUUUCUACUCUACCCCAGGCUGACUUGGAACUUAUUCUGUAGCUCAGGCAGAUCUCAAACUUAGAAUAGUUCUCCUACCAUUCUUGCAAGUGCUGGUGGGAUUAUAGUUGUGAAUCACUAAGACUUCCUUUUUUUUUAAUUUAAAGACUAGGUCUUUUUAUUUUUAAAGAUUUAUUUAUUUUUAUAUAUAAGUACACUGUAGCUGACUUUAGACACACCAGAAGAGGGUGUCAGAUCUCAUUAUGGGUGGUUGUGAGCCACCAUGUGGUUGCUGGGAUUUGAACUCAGGACCUUUGGAAGAGCAGUCAGUGCUCUUACCCGCUGAGCCAUCUUGCCAGUCCUAAAGACUGGAUCUUAAGUAACCUAGACUGGUCUCAAACUCACUAUGUAGACUUAGAAGACCUUGAGCUCCUGCUCCUCCCCAACCCCCCAGUUCCAAAAUAGGGUUUCUGUUUCCCAUAUUUCUUCUGCAUUUACUGGCUAACCACUUCUGUUGUUACAUUCCUUCAUUUAGCCCUCUCCUGUAAAGUUGAGCAUACUCUCCAUAUAUGACCCAUCAGACUCUUGGCGCUCAGGUAUUCACGCAAAUGAAAUAAUGCCCAUGUAUACACGGAAUGCUCUCUGUAAACAAUUACACCCGUUUUAUUUGUGAAUCCCUAAAACAGAAACACUUAAACUAAUCAUCAAAAGAUUAAAUUUUAACCAGUCAGUUACAUGGCACUUUAAGUACUUGUUUGGUUUUGUUUGCUUAACAUUCAGUAGCAUUCACUUUCUUUGGUCUAUAAUUAUAUGAAUGUUGAUAAUGGUCUAUAAUUAUAUGGAUGUUGAUAAACCAAAGCAUUGUCUACUUCUCAGCACAACU